rnacentral:rRNA from 1 species
CUUGGUCAUUUAGAGGAAGUAAAAGUCGUAACAAGGUUUCCGUAGGUGAACCUGCGGAAGGAUCAUUAAAGAGUAAGGGUGCUCAGCGCCCGACCUCCAACCCUUUGUUGUUAAAACUACCUUGUUGCUUUGGCGGGACCGCUCGGUCUCGAGCCGCUGGGGAUUCGUCCCAGGCGAGCGCCCGCCAGAGUUAAACCAAACUCUUGUUAUUUAACCGGUCGUCUGAGUUAAAAUUUUGAAUAAAUCAAAACUUUCAACAACGGAUCUCUUGGUUCUCGCAUCGAUGAAGAACGCAGCGAAAUGCGAUAAGUAAUGUGAAUUGCAGAAUUCAGUGAAUCAUCGAAUCUUUGAACGCACAUUGCGCCCCUUGGUAUUCCGAGGGGCAUGCCUGUUCGAGCGUCAUUACACCACUCAAGCUAUGCUUGGUAUUGGGCGUCGUCCUUAGUUGGGCGCGCCUUAAAGACCUCGGCGAGGCCACUCCGGCUUUAGGCGUAGUAGAAUUUAUUCGAACGUCUGUCAAAGGAGAGGAACUCUGCCGACUGAAACCUUUAUUUUUCUAGGUUGACCUCGGAUCAGGUAGGGAUACCCGCUGAACUUAAGCAUAUCAAUAAGCGGAGGA